rnacentral:lncRNA from 1 species
AAUGGCCCGUCUACCGGCGGUUGCUGCCGCUUUUUCUCCGCCCGCUUCUUCGGCUCACCGCCUCUUCCGUCGCCCUUCUGGCGACCAGCGCCCAUUCCUCCUACCCCGGGCAUCUGGCCCAUAGCGCUCAAUCCACCUUCGUGAUGGGUUCCACUUUAGGGCCUCUUUGUGGGCUCUCCAGUCCCCGGACCCGCACCCGGCGCCCGGAGCACCCGCUCCCGGCAACGGAGCUGGCACGAGGCCUGUCAUUUGUGUUCCCCUCCCGCAGCCCGAGAUCGGGUUCCCAGAAACGGAGCACAGGGGACCCUCAAGCUCCGGGAUCAGACACCGGCGCCUCACACGGUCGCCAGAUGCCCCCGAAAGACUCCGGGCCUCCAGCCUGCCGCGGAGCAGAGGGCGCCCUCAAAGCCCGACUCGGCCGCUCGUCGACCUUGGAGCAGCGCCCAACAACAGGUCCAGGGUCCCCACCUGGGACGUCCUGCUCGGCCCAGGACCGCCGCUGACUCCUUUGGAGAGAUCCCAGGACUCCUGCCCACGGCCAGCAAACCUCUCCCUGCAGCCCCCUGCAGAGCCCCUGCAGCCAGAGAGCA